rnacentral:rRNA from 1 species
UAUUGAGAGUUUGAUCCUAGCUCAGGAUGAACGCUGGCGGCGUGGAUAAGGCAUGCAAGUCAUGGGGACCCGAAAGGGUAACCGGCGAACGGGUUAGUAACACGUAGAUAACCAACCCCUGCCACGGCCAUAGCUCAUCGAAAGGUGAGGUAAUAGCCGAUGGUAUACGGGUUUAAAACCAUAUUAAAGGUCUUCCGCAAGGGAGGCCGGGCAGGGAUGGGUCUGCGGCCUAUCAGCUAGUUGGUAGGGUAAUAGCCUACCAAGGCGAUGACGGGUAGGGGAUGUGAGAGCAUGUUCCCCAACAAUGGCACUGCGACACGGACCAUACUCCUACGGGAGGCAGCAGUCGAGAAUAUUGGACAAUGGGGGAAACCCUGAUCCAGCGACGCCGCGUGCAGGAAGAAGGGCUUCGGCCUGUAAACUGCUUUUCUCCGUGAAGAACCUUCGGGUGACAGUAACGGAGGAAUAAGCGGGUGCAAAUUCUGUGCAAAUUGGCGCAGAAUGGUUGUAGUAAUAUAGCCUAAGUAAACUCGGCUUAUAUGCGGGGAAUCUAAAGCUACCGCCUCUUGGUAAAUAAAUUAUCAAGAUUUACUUUAGACAAUCCGCAGGGAAGUCAAGUUAUGAUAUAAUGAAGGAAUGAAUCCCGUGACAAUUCUUCCUUCAAAGAUUCAACGAGAGAUUAUUAUCGGAAAUAUUUUAGGUGAUGGUUCUCUUGAGUUUAAUGGAAGCGUUGGAACUAGAUUGCAAAUAAAACAGUCUGUGCAGUAUAAAGAUUAUGUGUUUUGGUUGUAUGAAAAAUUAAAAAAUCUUUGUAAUUCUAGACCGAAGCAAAGGAGAGAUAAUAAUCAGUGGUAUUUUAGCACAAGGGCUUUGAAGGAAUUAACUUCUCUUCAUGAAUUAUUCUACAAGAAGAGAAGAAAAAUAAUUCCCACAAAUAUUCCCGAACUAUUAACUUCGCCUUUAACACUAGGCGUAUGGUAUAUGGAUGACGGAUCGUUAGAUUUUCGUCCAAAAGAUCACUAUGCUUUUGUGUUUAGCACUGAUUCAUUCUUGUUGAAGGAAGUUAAGAUAUUAGGGGAGGCAAUUGAGAGAAAUUUUGGAGUUAAGGCAAGCGUUUAUAACUCGCUUUGUAGAGGUAGACGUUAUCCAAAACUUUAUAUUGGAGCUAAAGGAAGAGACAAAUUUCUUUCAUUAGUUAAGCCAUAUAUAUUAAAUUGUUUUUCUCAUAAAUUGCCUCAAUUGUAGCUUGACCCCUCAGAGACUAAUCCCGCGUUUUUAAAAAUGUAGGAGAGAUAGUGGGUACUGGAUAAUCCAGAAUUAAACCAUUAUCACACGCCGAGCCCCGCCAAAAUUUUGGCGGGUGAAGAUAUAGUCCGAAACUAGUAAAUAAAUCUACUAGAAUUCAGCCAGCAGCCGCGGUAAUACAGAACCCGCAAGCGUUAUCCGGAUUUAUUGGGCGUAAAGCGUCUGUAGGCGCCCCGACAGGUUUUCUGUUAAAUUUCCAGGGCUCAACCUUGGAGCUGCAGAAAAAACCGGCGGGGUAGAGGGCGUUAGAGGCUGAUGGAACGGUCGGUGUAGGGGUGAAAUCCGUUGAUAUCGACCGGAACACCAAAAGCGAAGGCAUUCAGCUGGGGCGACCCUGACGCUGAGAGACGAAAGCGUGGGGAGAGACAAGGAUUAGAUACCCUUUUAUUCCACGCUGUAAACGAUGGACACUGGCUAUCUGAAGUGUCGACCCUUCGGGUGGCGAAGCUAACGCGUUAAGUGUCCCGCCUGGGAAGUACGGCCGCAAGGCUAAAACUCAAAGGAAUAGACGGGGACUCACACAAGCGGUGGACCAUGUGGCUCAAUUCGACGACAAACGAGGAACCUUACCAGGGCUUGACAGGCUAGU